rnacentral:lncRNA from 1 species
GUCGCGGUCGGCCCACAGGCUGGGCACUAACGGGUCCCGGGGCGCCGGGGCGGACCGCGGAGGUCGUAGUGGACUAAUUUUACAGGCGAAGUUAAGUGACUUACCCAAAACCUCACAGCUAAUAAACGGCAGAGCCGGCACCCAGCUGUACUGGCUUCCAAUUCUGUUAGCUUACCAGCGCAUCACAUUAUCUCCAUAAAUCCCCAUGAUUCAACUAAUAUUAGACGCCCCACAGAGUCUCGCUACUCAAAACGUGGUCAGUGGCCCAGCAGCACUGACAUGAGGAUGUUAGUUAGAAACUCAGAAUCUCAGGCUCCACCCCAGACCUGCUGAACCAGCAUCUUCAACUUAACAAGAACCCGAAGAGAUUUGUGUCACAUCAAAAAGUUUGAGAAGCUCUGAUCUAGGGCUGGAAGGAGUGUUGCUCAACAAUAUCCAAAACCACAGAGGUUGAAAAGCACAAGGAAAGAAGGUAUGUUUGCACUUUGUGAUUAGGUAGUAGGGUCUUUGAGACCACAUUGUUCUUAUUGAAAGCCUGGGAAGAAAGAUCCCCUUUCUGGUCAAGUUUAGUCUAGGGAUCCAUCCCAUCUUCCCCAGUUCCCACGUGUAUGGGACAUGUCGAGAUAAGUAGAUAGAUUGGACAGUGGGAGAAAGUAGUUCUCUUCCAGUUGCUUCUAUUUUCUCAGCAAAGUGAGGAGCAAGAUCAUUUUGGCAGACUGCUAAUUGUCCAUCACAAUUUAGUCUCCCUUUCUCCCUGAAAACACAGACUGCUUUUCUCAGCCUCUCUUUCAGUUGCAUAUGGUCAAGUAUUAAGUUAUAGAACGUGAGCAGAUGUUAUGUCUGCCACUGUCAGGCCAAGGCGUUUACUUUGAGAGUACUUGUGCCUCUUUCAUGCAUUUUCCUUUCUGCCAGCUGGACCCUGGACACGGUGACUCUGAUUCAAUUAUGCAGAUGACCACAAACCUCUGGGGUUGGCAGAGCCACAAGAAAGAAGGUGCCUGGAUGAAGGAGAGCUACCCACUGACCUGGACACCCAAUUAUAGGAUAGACAGUGAAGUGCAACUACAGCCCGCAAAUGAAAAUGAAUAAUAUUAAUCCAGCCCCUCAAGGCAGUCAUCUGUCUUAGAGCUAUUGGAAUCCUGGAUCAUUGUGGGAAAUGAAAGGAACUGGUUUUUAGCAAGGAGACCAAGAAACUCUACUCCCUAGGGGCUAGCAAUGAGAGAAAGGAAGCCUUAAGUCUUUGAGCACAGGGUGACAGUUUGGGUCCUAUGUGAGAUGAUCAAAUCCACAGCAACAGAGGAAAGGACAAAAGGAAAAGGUCUGUAGCAGCACUACAUCAGAAAAAAAUGGAUUCAGCAAGGAAGUGGGUGACUCUGAGUAAGCAUCCAUGUCAGGAUGGUUUUGCUACAGCCCCCAACAAAACAUUAAUUAGUUUAAGAAACUCAACUUCGGUUUACAAGUGUUUUGGAAAAGUAACAAAGAACAACAUAAGUAACAAAAUAAUUCCUCAGGUCAUUACAAUGGAUGUUUCCUAUAACUGAAAAAUAUGGUUAAAAAGUACAAACUACAUUUGGUGUGCAAACUGUUUAGUUCUUAAUUCCAAACUAAAUUGUACAUUAUAUAGUAAAAUUUUGACCAGAAAAACUUGGAGAUUUUAGUAAAAAUUUCAUUGACAUAUUUACAGCCCCAGUGUAGUUUGGCCGGUGUGCAAAGCCUGACUAAGGAGGUUAUAGAAAAAAAUAUCAGACUUAAGCCCAUCAAAUCAUUAAAGAUGCUUUGGCAAGACUUCAAGCUUUACAGACAUACUCCAUGUGACCAGAGAUGUCAUAACCAGUGUUCUUUCUCUUGAAAUGUUAGAAUGCUUUAGUUUUAUUCUAUAAUUUCCGUGUUCCAUGGAACAGCAUUCAUUUCUCCCAGUUUUAGUAACAUAAUGAGAGAUAUAUUGAGUGUAUAGAGCAGGAAAGACAUGAAAACUUAUAUUGCAUAAUAUUAGCAAACAUAAAAGAUAGCAUUAUAAAUUUUUAAAAAUCCAAAAAAAUUCCAGAAACAGAACAGUGAGCAUGUUUAAAAAGUCAGGACUGACCGUUUCUGUGAGUUCUGAGGACUGUAAAUGAGCCUCAAUCCAUAAAGCUGAGAGGUUGUCUUAGCCCACAUAUGCAGCAGGUGACUCCCUCUGACAAAAGCAAGAUUUAGCUGGAUCUUUUAAAAAAAAAA